GACAUCAGCCAAACGUUGUCCACACCUAAGACAGAUAUUAUUUCCGCAAACAGAACCCCAACAAACCCCGUUCUGAGUCCCAUUUGAAAAUCUUUCUUUGCCGGAGCGGGACGUGGGCCUUGCCGAUUUCCUCUUCCGCUCCGGCAAUGGCUCGUUCACAUUCAGCAAAGAACAACUUCCAAAGUGAACUUCACAGGAAAAU
rnacentral:lncRNA from 1 species